rnacentral:rRNA from 1 species
GACGAACGCUGGCGGCGUGCUUAACACAUGCAAGUCGAACGGAAAGGCCCUGCUUUUGUGGGGUGCUCGAGUGGCGAACGCGUGCGUAACACGUGAGUAACCUGCCCUUGACUUUGGGAUAACUUCAGGAAACUGGGGCUAAUACCGGAUAGGAGCUCCUGCUGCAUGGUGGGGGUUGGAAAGUUUCGGCGGUUGGGGAUGGACUCGCGGCUUAUCAGCUUGUUGGUGGGGUAGUGGCUUACCAAGGCUUUGACGGGUAGCCGGCCUGAGAGGGUGACCGGCCACAUUGGGACUGAGAGACGGCCCAGACUGCUAAGGGAGGCAGCAGUGGGGAAUAUUGCACAAUGGGAGGAAGCCUGAUGCAGCAACGCCGCGUGCGUGAUGACGGCCUUCGGGUUGUAAACCGCUUUCGCCUGUGACGAAGCGUGAGUGACGGUAAUGGGUAAAGAAGCACCGGCUAACUACGUG